GCGAGAACACCCCCAGGAGGCUAAGGUGAGCUCUACGGCAGAGAGCCUGAGGGGAGGGAAAAGGGAUAGAAGGUGCUGCUGAAAGGCUGUUAACAAGGAGGAAUGUUCGGAAAUCCAGAAUUAGAAGGCAGCAAAUUGUGGUCUUUAAAAUCCUCUGGAGAGGCCCUGGUAAGUGGAACUAUUUGUAUUUUUUGGCUACAUCAUAGGCAGCUCAAUAGCUACUCAGUAAUGUACUGCAUUUUUCCAAAUAAGAAACCCUUUGCAUGUCUGCACAGUUUGGAAUGGGAAAGCAGUUUUAAACACCAGUUCAUGAGUAGAUAUUUAUAAGGGCUGUUAAUACCAAAGUUUAUUCACCAUACAGAUGAAAGUGUUAACCAUUUACUUUAGUGCCAGUAGCUUUUAAAAGCCUUAUGACCACUAGUCUCCAGAAUAUUUUUUUCUUGCAUACCUAGUGCUACUCUGUGCAGUAAAUUAGACACACACACCCCCUUCUCAACAAGGAGAACUCAACAAGGAGAACUCAAUUUUAGUCACUUAUCACAAAUGAAAGCCAUUUGUUUAAAAGGAAAAUACAUAAAAUGUGGAGGUCAUGGGAAGUGAAAAACUAGUAUUUAGUUGCCUGUAUAUGGUUUAAUUUAGGGUUGCUUUGAAUUUCAGAUAUGGAAAUUUUGGUGGUAGGAUAACAAAAGGGAGGGGAACAUGUAUGAAUCUUGAGAGGAAUGGGUGGUUAGAUAGGAAAGGUUUUUUUCUUCCCUUAUUUGCUUUUGUGUGAGAUUCUUUUAUUAAUUGUAUCUUUUGGCUUUUUCAAGCAGCAGUUACAUUGCUUGAUGUUGUUUUAUUGUUGAAACUGCUUGCAGAAAUGGCUUGUGCUAACUCUGGGUAUCAGAAAAAAACAGCAGGAAUCGGAUACUUUAGUCUAUCAACAGUGGUCUUUUGGACAAAAGCCUUUUCAGAACCCUGUUGGAUAUUUGACACCAAGUAGUGAAAGUAAUUUAUGCAGGUAAACAGAAAUGGUAAGGCAGAAGCUGUUGGUUGUGCCCUUUCAUGUUCUCUAGUGUUUUUGGUACAUGUGUAGGGAGGUUUGCCAUAUUGAAGACAGUGUCUUACAGCCAAGAAACUUCAGGGGAACAAUGCUAGAUCUCUUUUGGCAACUGAGCUUUGAGAGAUUAACUAAUCUUUAGUUUUGCACAUAGCUAACUAUUAAAAAGUCCCCUAAUUUGAGGGUGAAACUGAGCAGAGGAAGCCAAGAAAAGGACUGGUCAGUAUCCUGAGUUUAAAUGUAUUCUUUGACUCUAAAUGGAUUUUACUGAUUCAAUGGUAAACAAUGUAAAAUGAGGGAUGGUGGCAUUUAAGGAAUUUGGUUAUCAGAAUGCAUUAUAUACACCCCCAGAGCUGAAACCCAAAAUAUCCAAAAUUGAUCUUUCAGUGUUACGAACUAGAGAAUGAUAGUAUUUCUGACCAGACUAUAUUACUUAGGAAUGUAUUAACAUGAAGGUUGUGAUUUCAUGAGAAAAAAAGGAGAGAAUAUUUUAUAAUGAGAAAGUUAUAUCAUUUUCUUUAAGGAAUGCCACUAACAAGAUCUUGUUACGUAAGGUACUUAUGGUACUCUAUUAUUGUAGGCAAUGAGGACCAGAAGUUUGUUUUAUAAACAAUUUUAAACUUUGUUAUUUUGUACUAUUUUUCCUUUAUGGCAUUUCAUAACUUUCCACAUAUUUAAAAAUAUGCUAAACAUCAAAGAUUUUGUGUUAAAGUUAAGAAUGAGGAUUGAAUGUUGUUUUAUUGCUGUUAUUCUUCAGAACUCAGAAAUGCUUGAACCAUGAAUCCUGCCAAAUAUCUCCACUUCUACUCCAUGAGGUUCCUAGAGAAGCUGCUUAAUUAAUUAAAUUACUUAUUUGGAAUCAACUAUUCAAUAGAUGUGUAAUUUCUUAACUUUCUAAUGCCGAUUAUUAGGGAGAAUUCUAAAUCAGAACCUUGGCAUAGACCUGUGGACCAAAAUGGGAUCUCCUAUUCUGUCUGGCCUCUACUACUGUCAAAAUCUAAGAGAGGGGUUGAGUUAGGGCUGCUUGGGAGGUAGGUGUGUUUCCCCUAUAGCCAGGCCAUAGCGAGCAAAGUGCAUAGUUCAGGAGAAAAGCUAGAGCAGGACUCUGGUCUUUAAUACGCAGGGGUAAAAUGAGAUCCUCAGAAUGCCCAUAUUCUCAUCAGUACUGAUGAAUGUAAUACUUACAUAGUGUAUCUCAUGCACUCUAAAGCACACCUACUGUAUACAUGUAAUAUUCCAGGCACCUCAUGUAGAACAACUCAUUUAAACCUAACAGCCUUGCAAAGUAAUUACACAAAAUAAAACUGAGGUCCAAGGAGAGUGUCUGCCCCCAAAUCAUAUUAUGAACUGGGAUUUGAAUGUAGAUAGUCUCACCCUUUUGAGAGUAUGAGGGUGGAGAGAUGAAGAAUUUGGUAUUGGUUGACAGAAGGGUGUUUAAUGUGACAUGAGAUAUUAAGUUUAAUUGUAUCCAAAAUUGACUGAAUCCUUAUCAAAUACUUGCUACCAACUAUACCAUGUGAAAGGGGCCAUUCACAACAUGAAUCAUACCUCACUGUAACAUUUCUGGAAAGAAAUUAUGAUACAAAAUGAAAUUUCCUUCCUGAAUAGAGGAAUUUAAUUUUGAAGAUGCUAAAUCUUAAAUUCACCAAUAUAUAUUAACCCUUUUCAGCAAUAGAAAUUUAUUUAUAUACUAAUAUUAGUUGCUUUAGCCUGAGCCGCCUUCUACUGCUAAAGGGAGUUAUCCUAACCCCAAACUUUUCCCGUUUUCCACUGCUCCAAAUUUGCCCUGGGUGAAUAAGAAAUAAAAACAGUUCUUCAUCAGCUCCACACUACAAAGCUGGGCUUUUUGUGAGCUCUUUCUGGUAUCAGAGAUUCUGCCUUCCCUGGAGGGUAGGGUACUUCACCUUUGUAGCAGCUGACUCUUCAAGGGACUUUCAUUGUCCUGAUUCCACACAAGCCCAAAAAUAUACCCUUCUCUUUUUUCAAUACAAGAGAAACCCACACUUUUGCCUUGUUCUGUAGAGCUUACUGCUACUCCCUCUAAGGAGGGUUUCUUCUGGUUUUCUCACUGAACUAACCAGAGGGCCACUCUUAACAGAUUCCUGAAUUUACAGUGCUGUUAUUGACAUUUCUAAACUUAUAUGUUCAGCAACUCAAGGAAUGAAAAAAUACGUAUUUUUGCUGCUUCACAAAGUUGUACCUCACUUCAGAGUUUAAUUUUCCAAAGCCAUAAUAUCCUUUAUUAGCCAUUCCAGAAGCACCAGAAAAACAUUCAACCUCCAUUAACCACAAUGAUUCCAUUUCCCAAGGCUUCCAUUUUUCCCUGAUUUACUCUAAUCCUCACCCAAAUUUAAGUUCAAAAAAGUCCAAUCUACUUCUUUUUUGCACAUGUUUCUUGUAUGGUUUAGAUAGGGAAAAUACCAUAUUAUUGGUUUAAUUUUAAAAAUUAUUUCCUUUUUCUUUGUUUCAGGUUGAGACAUUUAUUCCCUGAGUGUACUCCUCAGUACUCUGCCUUGUUGGUUUCUUUGAAAGUCAAUGAAUAUAAGGUUUCUCCAAAGCAUCCAUUAUGUUAAACAAACUAAGAAACAAAUGAAAUAAACAAAACAUCUUUUCCUUUUCUGAUGGUGGAAUUUUCAUAUAGAAGUUAAAAUUUUAUAACAGUCUUUAACAAAUUAUUUCAUCUGGCUUAUUUUUAGUGGAUUUGGUCUUUCUUCUAUAAUCUUUUCAUCUUCUCUGAACCUUCCCACAGGGCAGAACUGAUUCCCCGUGUGCAAUAACUCUAUCCCUUUGAAACUAUUAAAUAGUUUCACAGGUAUUCAUCCAUGGUUUUCUAGCUUUCUCUCUUUCAACUAUGUUCACCUCUAAUGAAAUUGAUCCACUCAUGAAAAAUAAGUUCCCCAAAUUCUCCAAUUACUAACUUUUUUCUGUGCUUUCAGAGAGAGCCUCAAACAUAUCUUCAUUUUGUUUCCCUCCUAGGAAGUCAAUUCAGCUUAUUUUGGGAAAUCUCAUUAUAGUCUCUUAAAUCAACCUGAGUCCUAAGCACAUUCUCUAAGAAAAGAACUCCGGUAUCUUCACUUUUCUAUACUAAUCUUUAAAGGAUUUGUACCUGGGUGUAUCAGUAUUUCUUUUUCCUAUCUUUCUAGCUUGGCCUCUAAGAUCUCUUUCUCCUAAGGAAAUUUAUGACCUUCCACAGGUGAAUUAGUGUGUCUGCCUUCAUUUUUCUUUUUCUUUCCCAUUAUCCUGAUUGAAAAUGUAUAGCAAAUCUUUUUUUUUUCUUUUUUAAGCAUCCCAUAUUUUAGUCAGUGUGAAAAUAGAAGAAAUGUGAAAGAGAGCUUGUUGGUUUUCUCUCUGUUCUAUGCCAGACCAAAUGAUAUCAAAGUUGACUAUCUAUAUCUGGACUGAUCUAAAUGAUUCACUUAAUUAAACUAUGUAGUUCGUACUUAGGAGUGCCUUUCAGAAGGGUUCAUGCCGUUGGCUUAUGUCCUGACCUCAGAUGCUAGGAGACUUUGAUCUCCUUUGAUGACUUUCUUCCUUAAAGUCGAGUUCAAAUUAUUGGAAAUAGAAAGAUACUCAUGUUACCCUCUGUAUGUUCAAAUGUUUUGCUGAGUACUACUCUGCCUACUUGCCAUACAUGAAACUGUGAAGACUAGUUUCUCCUGUAGUACUUUUAAGUGGGUGUUCUUUCUUUUAUUGAACACCAUGAACCUCAGGGCCAAGGAUGGGGGUAGUAGCUCUCUGCGGCUGCUUUCAGGUCAUUUUUCCUCUAACUCCCCUGUCUUAAGUUUGGUGCCACAGCUAAGUACCACUGACUGAGUGGCUGAAACAGAAACUUUCUUACAGUUCUGGAGGCUAGGAAUCCUACAUCAAGGUAUCACAGAGUUGUUUCUUCUGAGGCCUCCUUCCUUGAUGUAUAAAUAGCUGUCUUCUCCCUAUAUCGUCACAUUACCUUCCUUCUGUGGGCAGCUGUGAUCUGUCUCUUCUUAGGAGGACACCAGUCAUAUUGAAUUGGCCCACCCUCAUCACCUCAUUUAAUCUUAAAUACCUUUUUAAAGAACUUAUCUCCAAAUAUAGUUGCAUUCUGAGGUACUAGGGGUGAGGAUUUCAACAUGCAAAUUAGAGAAAGAGCAGCAGUUCAGUCCAUGACACCCUAUACUCAUUUUUGCGCCUUUGAAAAUCAAGCUUCUAUUCCUUCUUGGUUGCUGAUAAUCUCUGACCUGAUUAUCCUUCCUACUUAGCAAAAGUGUAGGUACCUUAUUUAUUAGCCUUGCCUUCAUCUUGACUAAUUUGAAAGCCACAUCAAUAUAUCACCCUCCAAUGAUCUGUUUUAUGCAGUUUUUUGAUUUAUUCAGCAUCUCUCUCCCACAAUCACACUUUGUACCCUAUCAUAACCACGGCUCUUUCUCCAAAAUCUCUCACUCCAGUAUUACUUUGCUUAUUCUAUUAUUUCCAUUUUAUU